GGAGAGGGCAACCCAGGCCCCGGCGCCCCGAGCUCGCGACGACAGUGUCGCCCGCGCCAGGCAAGUCCAUGGAGACAGAUCACGCCGUGACAGGCCAGAGGCGGCUCGAGGGAUCCAUAAUUUAUGAUGUUGUUCUUACCAGUCCGGUUUGGGAUUUCACAAGCGUUGCCCGUUCCCCUCCCAUUUGUUGCUCCCGCCCGUCCUUUUGGAGAAAACUCCUUUUCCCCUACCCAAGACAGUAGCAGUUGCCGGAUUGAAUUAAUGUGAUAAGAGAGAGAGAGAAAAAAGGUGGCAGAGAGCAACUGUUGCAACUGCUCGCAAGGCUGGAGCCGGUGAAGACGCGAAGAAAGCGAAGGUUGGACCUGGUCAGACCGCUUCUGAUUGCUGCAAAGGCCCAGAGGCCCCACGCCCAGGGCAGCUCCCAUUUCGCCUGGGCUGAGGAGGGAACAGGCCUGGGACGGUCUGCAGGCUCCAGAGCCUCUGCAGAUGGCUGGGUCAUUUUGUGGUUUACAAAUGAUCAAGUCAGGUUGAAGCCACAGUCUCUGUGGUUACAAGGCAACUGUGAUUAGUCACCCAGUUAGUGACCCAGUUAUGGCACACCCUCUUUUAAAAGGACAUCAUUCAACAUCUUGCUGGCUUGAUUUCAGAAACGUUCCAUGUAGACCAGGAAAGUGAACACUGCAAGGCGGUGGGGGGGGGGGGGGGGGGGUUUAAGCCUAGGUUAUGUGUUUGCAUAUGCCAAGAGUUGGAUUUUCCAAAAAGGAGUAAAUCUGGGAGUUAACUUUUGAGGCUAGAAUUUCACUGAACUUUGGCGAGAGAUUGCUUUUCAAGUUCAGGUAUGGCUGUUUCUGCAAGGAGUCGGGGAGAGAGAGAAAAGAGAGUUACCUCGUGAGCUUUGACUUGGCUUAUAUAUUCAUGGCCAUCUGUAAAAUGAAAGUGGGGAGGCAGGAAGGGGAAGAAGAACACUACAUAUGAAGGCUUGUGUGGCUUUUGAUUUUUUAAAAAUAGCCUUUCUUUUUACCACAAUGGCAUAGGAACUCAUAGACAUGAGUCCCCAGUAAUAGUAAACAAAUUAGCUUCUUUUAUCUGAAAAACAAGUAGAGUAAGUCUCUCUCUCUCUCUCUCUCUCUCUCUCUCUGCAAAGAGAAAAUGCAAAACAAAAAUCCCCCCUCCUCUUAAAGGCUUCUUUGCUGGUUGCGUGUUUGUCCAGGAACAAAUAGUCUUUUAUUCGAACGGUCUCCAAAAGUUCAUAAGCAAAAAAAGUGUCCAACGUCUGGUUACCGACAAUGCAAUCUCUGGCUGCAUGGUGAAGCUUUUCUGUCCUGAAUUUGUGAUCUGCUAUCAGAGUCCUUUAAUUUCUGUGAACAGAAGGCUCUUUGGGAGAAGAAAGCUUGGGGGUGGGGAGUGACAUUGGAAUCAGUCUUUUUUCCCCCUUUUUGCUGUUUUCUUCCAGGCAGCAAGUAGUGCUUGAAUUCUUCUGAUCUUUCCCAGCAUCUUACCGAGGUGAGGGCCAGGGAAGGGUUAAGCCGGGCCACAGGCAGGUUUCCCUGCUGGCCUAUUUUACUGGGGUGUAGCAGCUGGUCAGGCACCACCUAGGAACUGUUCAUAAAAAGGAGACGCCCUACUCCUGAUGCCCUUUAUCUCCUUUGGAGAUUUUCCUUUUACAGCGUGUUUUAUCCAGUCUUCAGUGACAACCAUCUUUUUAAAGUCCUAGGUUCCCUUAAACCAUUGGGGGUUUACAUGUAUUCCUAACAUUCCCUGUGUAGUAUCUGGCAGGAUGAAAGGAAAGAGGCAAACCAUUAGGGAGAAAAUAGAGAGUCAUUUUGAGGGCUGUGCAAAACUGAUUAUUUGUAACUAAAUUUUACUUGCUUGCAGAUAAAUUAUUUUAAACAUUUGGUCACCUUUUGUGGUUUGAAACUUCAAUUCGAGUUGGAUUCCAUUUCACACGCUUACUGAGAAGCUUCAGAAGUCUGGUCCUUUCCUAGGUGCAGAGGACACAGGAGAAAGCAAGACACCCAGAGGCCACACUCUCAUGGAGCUUAUAUUCUAAUGUCCUGUGGUCUCCACACUGGGGAUAUGCCUGCCUGCAGUUCACAGUCAAGCAGGGGAGGCAGAUAAUACAAACAAGCAAUGACCUUGAAGGUCAGUACGUGCUACGGGUAGUCAGAUACAGAAGGUCACAGGACCACAUAUUAGGGAUGCUUAACCUUAAGCUUAGUGAAUCAGAUGAGGCUUUGUGGAGGCCAUGGAAUCUAAGCUAAAACACGAGAGGAAAGCAGGAGUCAGAUGGGGACGGGAAGAGUUCCUUGUGGAGGGGAACAGGGCACACAAAAGUCCCUCGGGCAGAGAAGCACGGCAUUUGUGAGGAAAUGAAGAAGGUUCAGCUUGGGCAAAGCGUGGCCAGGAUGCUGAAGAGACAGGACGGGCAGACACAGGGCAUUGCAGGGUGGGCACAUGAGUUUUGAUUUUAUGCUAAUAGGCUAUGAAAAACCAUGGGAAGGGUUUCAAAGUUGGAAAGUUGGUGUGUGUGUGUGUGUGUAUGUGUGUGUGUACAAAUGGGUGGGUUUGAGCAGUAUUGGAGAGAGUUUGCACCAGAGAGAGAAAGGUCAUGGAUACCGCCCCCCCCCCCCAGGUUUCUGAUUUGAACCACUGGGUGGGGGGGCACUGCUGAGGUCAGGAAUACUUGGGGAAAUGUGAAAGGGAAGAGGGCAGGUUUGCUUUUGUGCAUCUUAGGUUUGAGGUUCCUGACAGACUGCCAAGUGGAUGUGAAUUUGGGGACACUGGUCAUCAUUGGGAAAGCCAGGAAGGACUUGAGAAAAAUCAUUCAGAUAACGUGUGUGUUUGUUUCAGUGGUAGCCUGAGAUCCUGUGGCUGUCAGGAGAGAAAUUCACUCCAGCUAGCCCGAAAAAGUGUGGAAUUGUUAGGGUACAGAGAGCUUCACGGGGUGUGUUGCUCACCGGGAAGCUAUGAGGAUGGGAACAGCUCUUCUGGACUAUGUAGGACAAUGUGGCCACCUGCCACUCGAACCUUCACUUACACCGCAUGCCCCUCUGUGCUCGUGUGUGAGGCCUCCAGCCUCCAUAUCUGCCCCCUGCAGAGCUGACUCCUGCUCUCACUUGCCAAAGGACUUGACAGCUGCAUUGAAAAGCCUCCUGUGGACUUCACCACAAUCUUUAAAAGACUUUUUUGGAUCUUUUAUUUAUUUUUGAGAGAGAGGGACAGAGAAUGCGCAGGGGGAGGAACAGAGAGAGAGGGAGACACAGAAUCUGAAGGAGGCUCCAGGCUCCGAGCUGUCAGCCCAGAGCCUGACGCGGGGCUCGAACCCACAAACUGUGAGAUCAUAACCUGAGCCAAAGUCGGACGCUCAACUGACUGAGCCACCCAGGCGCCCUGAGUACAGAACUUCUGAUCAGACACAAUGUUGGUACAUUCUUUAUUUCCCUGUCUAACCCAUGAAAUCUGCUGCUGUGUGUUCCUGUUCCAUGGAGCAGGGAGGAAAGGGCGUGUGCGCAAAACUGUCUGAAUGUCUCCUUUACCAGGAGGAUCUGGGCAGUUUGCGUGUACUGUACUCUCAAAGCUUCAGUCCCCUACUCUGGAAGUCAGCGCCUACUUCCCCAGGAGAGACAGUUGCACGAGAUAACACAUGAAAUGCUUGCACUCGGUUGACUGUUCCUUUCCUCCUUUUACUUCUCUGUAAUUCUUGUGCAAAUCAUUGCCCAGAAAACAGGGAUUGUACUUCUAUGACAUUUUUAUAGUGAUUCCUAUGCAUGGGUAUUAACAAAUGUUUAUAGAAUGAUUAUAUAUUUUUGUUCCGUUAAAUAGUAGUUGUAGCCACUCGAUAACAUGUUAGGAAAUUUGAGAUGAGGAAAAAUCAUUUGCCUAUAAUCCUGCCAUUUAAAUAA